AGGAACCAGCCCCCGCUGUAGAAAAGGAUGUUGAGGUCGAAUCAGCACCAGCACCAGAAGAGGCUGCUCCUGCUGCGGAGGAAGUAGCAGCCCCUGUAGCUGAAGAGCCUGCGGCUGCAGAACCUGUAGCCGCAGAAUCAGAAGAGCCAGUGGCAGUUGCAGCAGAACCUGUUGCAGCUCCAGUUGAAGAACCUGUGGCUGCAGAAGAACCUGCAGCCGCAGCUGAGGAACCGGUUGCUGCAGCACCCGUUGAGGAGGCUCCAGCACCCGUAGCUGAACCCGAAGCAGCCCCAGUUGCAGAACCCGAAGCAGAGAAAACAGAGGAAUCUGCCCCUGCAUCUGAGGAGCCAGAGAAAGUUGAAGAGUAAAAUUCAAAUGGUUGAUGAAUGAUGGUUUUUUUUUUUUUUUAUAUUGAAAUUUGGUUGUGUUUAUUGUGUUUUUUAGUUGAGUAUUUUAUUUACUGCUACUAUUAUUAUUACUAAAACUAUAUUUUAAUAUAAUAUGGUUACAAUGAGGGCAUAUGUUAAUAUUAAUAUAUGCCUAGGUCUAGGUGGUCGGGUGGGAUAUUUUACAUAGUUUUUUUUUAAAGCUAUGUGUGUAAUCUUGUCCAGGGUUCAGUUUGUCAUGGUUUGAUUAAAGAUGAUAUGAGAUUUGAUCUCUAGUUUAUUAUAAUAAUAAAGGGGUAAUAACUUUUUUUUGUUGUUUAUGAAUGGACUCUAAAGAGGGCGAGUUUGAAUGUACUGCUCCCCCAGCUCUCUAAGGAGGGUUUCGUAAUGGUUUUUCAAAAAAAUCGAUCGAAAGCUAUAUCAUUAAAAUUUUAAUGGUUAAUACAUAUAAAAAAUUGAGAAAAUUACUUAUUCUUGUAAAUUGAUUCCUAAAUACUCAAAAUGCACUCUAAAAAUGAUGACAUUGUAUAUACAAGUCCCCAACUCUCUACUAGUGAUUUAAGUUAUGGUUUCACAAAGAAAUGAAAAGUCACAACACUUUGAAAAGAUCUCUUCUGAGUUAUGAAACAACAUAUAUAUCCUCUAUCAAUACCCCUCACAAAAUCUUGUUCCACAUCCGCCAUAAUUUUAGAAGGAACAAAUUAUGGGUGGUUCAAUGAAUCAAUAGGAAAAUAGCAUAGAUGAGGUACUUGAGAGAAAAAAAUCCAACAAGUUUAGUUGAUAGAUAGAUAGAUAAUACAGAUAAACAUAGGGUAGGUAGGUAUAUAGAUUUAUGUUAUCAAAUAUUUUUCACAUAUUUCUUCUUAAUUUUAUGUGAAAAAACUUUACGAGAAUAUCCGUAAUAAGUAGGAGAAACAUACAUAUAGUCUAAUAAUUUUUAAGUCAUAUUUUCGUAUUUGCCAACCAACUUUUUGGAUCUACAUGAUUUCUCAUAUUAGCCCAUGAAUUUCGCACCUUGGAGCACUCAAAUAUUUUUCUAAAAAGACUUUAUGUGGACCACCGUAAUGAGUUGGGAAAACCCUAUGUAUAGUCCUACCAUUUUAAGGCCUAUUUCGCAUUACCAAAUCAACUUUUAGGAAUACGCGACUUUCCCAAUUGUUCGCGUGUAUUAGCCCAUGGAUCUGACGCCUUAGAGAAUCCAAUUUUAUUUAAGGAUUUUGUAAUGAUAUGGGUUGGAAUUACGUAUAUUCCCACCAUUUUAAGGUUAAUUUUUGUAUUUUUUGGCCAACUUUUAAGAAUUACGCGACUAUUUGAAUUUUUCGUGUGUAUUAGGCAAUUGAUCUGAAACCUUGGAACACUGAAUUUUUUUCUAAAGAACCUUUAUGGGCACCUCCGUAAUGAGUUGGGGAAACAUAACAUACCUGGAAAAGCAUCCAAAGGGUCUUAAUAUGGGCCCACUAGGCCCAAAUAAAGUAGGGCCCAUUUAGAGAAAGCCCAAAAGGAUUUAGAUCUAAAAAGGAAGUGCCACGUCAGAAUAUGGGGCCCAUUUAGACGUUAAUGGUCGUAAAUUGUGAUAGUGGGGGCCCAUUUAGCACCGGCCCUUCACUAUUAAUUUGGACUUUACGUUCAUAACCAAUUUGUCCACAAAUCAAAAAUAAUAAUAAUAAUUCAACUUGGCUUUUAUUUUUUCUUCAAAUUCCUAAACAUUCUCAUCUUGACUAGUAUUGUAGAAAAAAACAUUUUACUAUUUUUGGUGAAAUUUUGAUGUGAUUUUACUCUAAUGUAAUUUUACUGUUGUUAAUGAAAAGGUGUGUCAUGCCGACAAUAAAUAAAUAAAAAGAUAAUUUAAUGUAAAAAUUAUUUCAUAUUUAACGAGAUCUGAAAGGAUCGUCAUAUUUCAAAAAGAAGUAAUGUAGGUAGUUUAUCUUCAGCAUGUAUUAAUGUCUGAUCAUGACCCGAAUUCGUGAUUAAUAGAUCGAUCCAAUCCAAAGUCGGCAACAGAAAAUGUAUAAUUAAAAUAGUAAUAUCACGAGUUUAAGUUGUUUAAUAUUUUUUUUAUUUAAUUUAUACGAUGCGAAGAGUUAUGGAGCUUUUGAUUUAACUAUAAUAUAAUAUUUGUUUGGUUAUAAAACUUUUGAAAUACACGACUUAAACCUAUGAAAUAUUUAAUAAGUUAAAUUAUUUUUAGAUUGUAACAUAUUUUAUAAUUUUUGCAAAUAAAACAACCUAUUAAAAUGAAUUUAACUAAAAAAUAUAUAUCAUACCACAUUGAUAAAUGCACACAUAGUUAAAAGAAAAUAUGUUUCAACUAAUUAAACAUUUAUACAAUAAUUUGCGAGAUCCAAUACAUAACAUUAAAAAAAAUAGAUAAAAAGGUUAGAGUCAUUAUUUACAUGGAUUAGCAACUUAAUUCAUUCGAGCGAUAAAAGUUGUGAUAGAAUGAUAAAUAUUUUUUUGAUUUUUUUAAAUUUAAAUAGAAAUUUCAAAUUCAAACGUUAGUUACGAAAGCAUGAUUGUUACAGAAUAUAUAUAUUAAGUAUAACUUUUCGAUAUGAAUCAAAAUUCAAUCGAACCCUACUGAACGUUGGAUGGGAAAUUUUAAAAAAUUAAAUUAAUUUCCUUAAACCAAGAGAUUUUGUUGUAAAGGAACUAAAAUUAAGAAAAAGAUUAAUUUUUAAAAAUUAGAAGAACAUGAAAGCAUGAUGGUCUUAGUCACCUACAUGCCCUACUGCACAAAACACAGAAAGAAAAAAGAUAUAAUAGCUGUUAUAGUAAAUGGUCUCCACCACCAUGUGGCAUUGCUAUUUCCCAAUCAAAACAAGUGCUUUUAGACAAACCUAAUAAAUGAAUUUAUUAAUUACAUUUUUUUUAAAAAAAAAAUUGUGUUUGAGUCGAAGAUCUAUCGAAUCACGUAUGUUUAGUUAUCCUUUAAGGUAAAAAUGAGAUUUCAUGUACACACUAUUCUUUUCACUUGCGGCAUGAGACUAACUAUGUUAUUGUUACUGUAUUAUUACGUAGAAAAUGCCUAAUUUUGAAAAUCAAUAAGGAAAAAAUAAAAAUAAUGUGUUGAAUAUUAUUUUCUUAGAAAAUAUUAUCGAUGUGAAUUUAUUCAUAUUGGUGGUCCUAAAUUUGAAUGAAAAGAUUAAUAAGUAAUUAAAUGAAUAUGUAAUGUCACCAAACGGAAAGGUUUUUAUUUUCAAAAUAAAUAAGGAAGAAAAAAGGAAAAGAAUGUGUUAAGAGUGUUUUUCUUAUAAGAGAUUGUUAAUGUGAACUGAUUUAUAUUGUCGAUUUAAUGUUUGAAUAAAUAAAUUUAUAAUCUUGUCAAAGAAAAAACUCUUCAUAUUGAAAAUCAAAAAGGAAAAAAAAUGUGUAAGAAUAUUAUUUUUCUUAAAUUUAUUCAUAUUAUCAAUCUCAAGUUCAAAUUAAUAAAUAAAUUAAUUUAUAAUGCCAUGAAAGAAAAAAAUUCGCCACGUUGAAAAACAAUAAAGAAGAGAGGGGAAAGAGGAUACAAUUUUGUUUAUUAUUAACUAGAUUUUCGUUUUGUGAUUGUUGAAAUUUUAACUGUUUUAUUCAUAAGUCUUAAAUUCGAACUAUAUGAAAUUUUUUUAAAAAAAUCCUCAAUAAAAAGUGUUUUACUUAUAAAUACCAUCUAAUGUUAAGACUAUAUAUUUAGAAAAUGAAAGUUUCAAAUUUCAAAUUUUACUUGUUAAAUUUUAAAUUCUAUAAUAAUAGCUAAAAAAAUGGAUAUUUGUGAAUUUUACUAUGUGUUACUUGAUGGACUUACUCCAUUAGAAUCUAGACUAAUCGAAUGUGUAAAUUUAAAUAUCCGAUAAUUAUAACAAUAACAACAGACUGAAUAUUAUUCCAUAUAUAUAUAUAUAUAGAGAGAGAGAGAGAGAGAGAGAAAUCUUAAUUCUAUCUAAAGGUAAUUUUUAAUAGAUCCUCAACUCGCGUAUGAAUUGAUUAAACUUAUAUUAUAUAAGGUAAGGAAAAAAGGAAAUAUUUUGUAUGAUUACUAUUAUUUUCUUAUUAUUAUAAACAUAAAGUAAAGUAAAAGUAAAUACAUUUACAACUAGACAUCCAAAUCUUUUGUACACCCUUAAUUGUCAGUGAUAUGAGGUGUCAAUAUGUAUAUACUUGAAGAUUCUUUUUUUCUUCCAUUAAUUAAUUUUAUAUUAAUACACUCCAUUUUACUUUCUCUAUAUAAAGCUCUCUCAUUUGAUCAUUUUUUCCAUCAACAAAUUACAAUUACAAAUAUUUUGCCCCCUUCCAUUUCUUAAUUUAUUUUCCUCUUUCCCAUCUUCUUAUUUUCCAACUUUCUUCCAAUGGCCAGUGUUGAGGUAUUUUUAUAAUAAUGUUUUCAGCUAGCUAAUUAACUUUUCUCCAAUUUUUUUGAUAUCCUGAAAUAUUAUUAGAUCGUUCUUGUAUAAAGGUGUGAUCAUAUAUGACAUCAAGAUUUAUUAUCAAUUUAAUUCGGAUUUUUUAAGAACGCCAACUAGCAUGUCUAGAUCCUCCAAAAGUAGUGAAUUUUUGGAUGAUCAGAUCGAUACUAGUGAUGAAAUUUUUUUAAGCGUCAGAGUAACGUAAAAAAAUUAAGCUAGUGAUCUGAUAGCUCAUAGGAAAACACUAAAAAAAAAUAAUAGAAUCUUGAUCUUACUUACUAGCUAUAGUAUAUGUUUGUUACUAUAUAAAAUAAAAAGCAGAAUUGUUUAAUCUCUAAUUUUGUUAAAACCAUAAGUGAUAAUUUAAUUUAAUGGAUCUUUCUAACUUAAUUGAUUUUUUUUUGUCUUUGUGAAAGGUUGAAUCUGCACCAGUAGCACCAGUAGAGACUACUCCAGCUGAGGUUGAAGUUACCCCAGCUCCAGAGGUAAACAAGGUAACGUUUAAUUAUCUGAUCGUCUUAUCUAAAAGUUUAAUAUGUUAAAAGAAGUUACACUUUUAAUUACUUAAUCAUGUUUGUAACAUUCGCUUACAUGUUAUGUUGCUUGGAAUCUUUAAAACUGUGAUUGCAUGCGUUCCUAUCAGAUCCUCAGAAAGUAAUAUAAUUUUGAAGGAUCUGACACGGAUGCAAUAUUAACAUAAUCUGAUUUUUCUUUGCUUGUUCAAACACGUGAAAGUUUUUUUUUUUAAUCAUAGUAGUGAUGUGAUUUGAACUCAGGACAUCUAACUGCUCUGAUAUCAUAUCGAAUUUUAAAUGAUCAUAUUAUUUAAAGUAUAUAUUAAUUAACUUAAUUAUAUCUUCAACAGGCGGAGGAACCAGCCCCCGCUGUAGAAAAGGAUGUUGAGGUCGAAUCAGCACCAGCACCAGAAGAGGCUGCUCCUGCUGCGGAGGAAGUAGCAGCCCCUGUAGCUGAAGAGCCUGCGGCUGCAGAACCUGUAGCCGCAGAAUCAGAAGAGCCAGUGGCAGUUGCAGCAGAACCUGUUGCAGCUCCAGUUGAAGAACCUGUGGCUGCAGAAGAACCUGCAGCCGCAGCUGAGGAACCGGUUGCUGCAGCACCCGUUGAGGAGGCUCCAGCACCCGUAGCUGAACCCGAAGCAGCCCCAGUUGCAGAACCCGAAGCAGAGAAAACAGAGGAAUCUGCCCCUGCAUCUGAGGAGCCAGAGAAAGUUGAAGAGUAAAAUUCAAAUGGUUGAUGAAUGAUGGUUUUUUUUUUUUUUUAUAUUGAAAUUUGGUUGUGUUUAUUGUGUUUUUUAGUUGAGUAUUUUAUUUACUGCUACUAUUAUUAUUACUAAAACUAUAUUUUAAUAUAAUAUGGUUACAAUGAGGGCAUAUGUUAAUAUUAAUAUAUGCCUAGGUCUAGGUGGUCGGGUGGGAUAUUUUACAUAGUUUUUUUUUAAAGCUAUGUGUGUAAUCUUGUCCAGGGUUCAGUUUGUCAUGGUUUGAUUAAAGAUGAUAUGAGAUUUGAUCUCUAGUUUAUUAUAAUAAUAAAGGGGUAAUAACUUUUUUUUGUUGUUUAUGAAUGGACUCUAAAGAGGGCGAGUUUGAAUGUACUGCUCCCCCAGCUCUCUAAGGAGGGUUUCGUAAUGGUUUUUCAAAAAAAUCGAUCGAAAGCUAUAUCAUUAAAAUUUUAAUGGUUAAUACAUAUAAAAAAUUGAGAAAAUUACUUAUUCUUGUAAAUUGAUUCCUAAAUACUCAAAAUGCACUCUAAAAAUGAUGACAUUGUAUAUACAAGUCCCCAACUCUCUACUAGUGAUUUAAGUUAUGGUUUCACAAAGAAAUGAAAAGUCACAACACUUUGAAAAGAUCUCUUCUGAGUUAUGAAACAACAUAUAUAUCCUCUAUCAAUACCCCUCACAAAAUCUUGUUCCACAUCCGCCAUAAUUUUAGAAGGAACAAAUUAUGGGUGGUUCAAUGAAUCAAUAGGAAAAUAGCAUAGAUGAGGUACUUGAGAGAAAAAAAUCCAACAAGUUUAGUUGAUAGAUAGAUAGAUAAUACAGAUAAACAUAGGGUAGGUAGGUAUAUAGAUUUAUGUUAUCAAAUAUUUUUCACAUAUUUCUUCUUAAUUUUAUGUGAAAAAACUUUACGAGAAUAUCCGUAAUAAGUAGGAGAAACAUACAUAUAGUCUAAUAAUUUUUAAGUCAUAUUUUCGUAUUUGCCAACCAACUUUUUGGAUCUACAUGAUUUCUCAUAUUAGCCCAUGAAUUUCGCACCUUGGAGCACUCAAAUAUUUUUCUAAAAAGACUUUAUGUGGACCACCGUAAUGAGUUGGGAAAACCCUAUGUAUAGUCCUACCAUUUUAAGGCCUAUUUCGCAUUACCAAAUCAACUUUUAGGAAUACGCGACUUUCCCAAUUGUUCGCGUGUAUUAGCCCAUGGAUCUGACGCCUUAGAGAAUCCAAUUUUAUUUAAGGAUUUUGUAAUGAUAUGGGUUGGAAUUACGUAUAUUCCCACCAUUUUAAGGUUAAUUUUUGUAUUUUUUGGCCAACUUUUAAGAAUUACGCGACUAUUUGAAUUUUUCGUGUGUAUUAGGCAAUUGAUCUGAAACCUUGGAACACUGAAUUUUUUUCUAAAGAACCUUUAUGGGCACCUCCGUAAUGAGUUGGGGAAACAUAACAUACAAUCUCACCAUUUUACGGCCUUAUUUUUGCAUUACCAAUCAACUUUUUGAAAUUACGCAAUAAUUCUAAUUUUUUUUGUGUCUUUUAGCUUAUGGAUCUGGCUCCUUGGAGCACCCAUAAAUUAUUUUAAUGAAAAAACAUUAUGAGUACCUCCACAAUGAGUGAGCAAGUAUUAUGUGUAGUUUCAUUAUUUCAAGGCAUAUUUUCAUAUUUAUUAGCCAACUUUUAGAAGUUAGGCAACGUUUUCGAUUUUUGAUGUGGACUAGCCCAUGGACCUGGCGCCUUAGAGCACCCUAAUUUUUUUUCUUCUAAAAGAACUUUAUUAGAACCUCCAUAAUGAGUUGGGGAGAUAUUAUGCAUAGUCACACCAUUUUAAGGCUCAUUUUUGCAUUUACUAGCCUACUUUCAGGAAUUACCCAAUUUUCUCAAUUUUUCGUGUGUAUUAUCCCAUGGAUCUAGCACCUUGGAACACCAAAAAUGUAUUUUUGAAAAAACUUUUUGAGGACCUCCAUAAUGAGUUGGGGAAACAUUAUGUAUAGUCAUACCAUUUUUAAGGUCCAUUUUCGCAUUUCCUCACAAACUUUUAGGUAUUACGCUACUUUUCUUAUUUUUCGUGUGUAUUACCUUAUGGAUCUGACACCUUAGAGUAUCCAAGAAAAAAUAUUUUUUAUAUUAGGAUAUCUAUAAUGAGUUGGGAAACAUUAUUUAGUUCCACCAUUUUUAAGGUCCAUUUUUACAUUUACCAAUCAACUUUUAGGAAUUAUACAACUUUCUCGAGUUUUUGUGUAUAUUAGUACAUGGAUUUGGCGCGUUAGAGCAUUAACUUUUGUUAGAAAAAUAAACUCUGUAAAAAUUCGAGGAAGCAUUAAUUAUAAUCCCACCAUUUUCUAAGGCUUAUUUUCGCAUCACCAAUCAACUUUAAGGAAUUACACGACUUUUCUGAUUUUUCAAGUGUAUUAACCCAUGAAUAUGGCGCCUUGAAGCACCUAACGAGUGAUACCAAUCAACAUCUUUAAUAUCAAAACAUAAAAUAGCUAUUUAGAUACAAUUCGAGCAUAGGUAAGAAAACCUUUCACCAAUGUGAAUCCAUGUGUGAGAAAAUCUUUUCCAAUAACAUUGAUAUUUUCAUCUAAAAGCACCCUAUAAUCAUAACCAUCGUUUUCAUAAGAGAUGCAUAAUUAUUUGGGAAAUGUAUUUCUCACAUAUGGAUAAGUGAUAACCAAAUUCAUGGUCUAAUACACACGAAAAACAAAGAAAGUCAUCUAAUCAUAAAAGUUGACUCGUAAAUGCAAUAAUAUGCGUUAAAAAUUGAUGGGAGUAUAUGUAACAUUCCCCCCUCCCCCCAAACUUAUUACAAAGGUCUUCAUAAAGUUUUUUUCGAAAAAAAUCUAUAGUACCCUAAAACGCCAAAUUCAUGAGCUAAUACACAUGAUAAAUCAAAAAACCAUGUAUUUCCUGAAAGAUGGUUUGUAAAUGUAAAAUAUGUCUUAAAAUGACGGGGAAAUGAGUUGUCCCAAAAGGUCCUUAGAAAUGUUGUUUAAAAUAUUUGCUCUUCCUAAAAAGAUUCUGUUUUAGACAAUAAAAAAGAUCAUUUUUUCCGGUUAUUAUACCUUUAUUUUAAU
rnacentral:lncRNA from 1 species